rnacentral:rRNA from 1 species
UACGUAGGGAGCUAGCGUUGUCCGGAAUCAUUGGGCGUAAAGGGCGCGUAGGCGGCUUGGCAAGUGGAAGGUGAAAUCCCUCGGCUUAACCGAGGAACUGCCCUCCAAACUGCUUCGCUUGAGACCGGGAGAGGUGAGUGGAAUUCCCAGUGUAGCGGUGAAAUGCGUAGAUAUUGGGAGGAACACCAGUGGCGAAGGCGGCUCACUGGACCGGUACUGACGCUGAAGCGCGAAAGCGUGGGGAGCAAACGGG